ACAGCCGACAUGUCCCGCCCCCCCGGCAGCGCGGGGCUGGUCCGCAGGCAGUUCUGGCGACGGCCAGACCCACGUCUGUCUGUUCCGCCCCUGCUGCCAGGGUGGCUUUCAGUGGUCCUCUCUUUCGGAGAGUUCCCCCCAAGCGUGAGCACCCCUUACAGGGGCGUUAGGUCCGCGGCCGCGCUGUCCAGUGGUCUGACCUGCAGCUCCCAGGGCCUUUGUGUCUGUCCCUCGCAUGGGCCUCUGCACGCUCCGUCCCCACGCGACAGGACUCGAGUCCGAUUCGGGGCUCCGACUCAGACCCUACCCCGCAGCGCCCUCCUGCAAAUGCUCUCCUGAACUUUGGUUUUCCCCGCCUUGCUUUCUUCCUCCUCCUGUAGCCGCUGCCUCUCGAUCUCAGAAGCUUCUCUUCCUCUGCACUCAGUGCUAGGCCAGAUCCCAAGGCGACCUGACCUUUCCCCUGGCUUUGCCCAACAACACAGGCACCGGUGACUCCAAACCUGCAUCUCCCCUACGUUCCAGGCCCCAGCAUCCCACUGCAUGUUCCACAUCCCCCCCCCUUAGACAGCUCGCCUUCCCUCCCCAAACGAUUCCUUCCACAGUCUUCACUUUCUCAGAACGCGGCGCUAAACUUCUCUAAGUUGGAAGGUCAAAAACCUUGCAGCUAACUUUGAUUCCUCCCUUUGCCUCACCUCCAAUCCAUCAAGACCUUGUCACUCAGCCCACAAGCUGAAGGCCCCAUCUCCUGUCACCCAGACUACUCACCUUGUUUGGUUUUGCCUGGAUCUAUCAGUUUGGUUUUGCCUGGAUUUAUCAUGCUUUAAAUCUUUAAAAUGAAAUUAAAUCAUGAUCCCCUACAUCCAGGCUAAAACCCUCCGUGAAUUCCCAUUGCACCUAAAAUCCACACUCCCUGCUUGGCCUAGCAGGUUCUAUAUGACCUGCCCAUCUCACCAGUUUCAUCUCUCACAAGUGAUCCUUCACUCUCCAUUCUCCAGCCACAAGGCCUUUUUCUGGUUAUGGAAUAUAAUUCAUACUCUUUGUCUUUCUGAAGCCAUUCUUGAAACUCACCCCUGCAAUCUAUCUACCCUUGUCAGCACCGCCAAAAUUGAGGACACCCACGGUCGCGGUGGAGCCUGUCUGACAUGUUGAGCCAGGCAGUGGGUCGGCUGCCAGGCACAGCAGGACAACUUACUGCAUUUCAGAGGAAUGAUGGUCCACAAUUUACUGAUGAGGAAACAGAGAUUCAGAGAAGUUCUACAAUUUGCCCCAAAGCCACAUAACAUGACUAGGUGGGAACUAGAACCCAAGUCGGCCUGACUCCAUGAGUUUUCUGCCUCACAGGAGAUCCACUGGCUUAGAGUUUCUCUCUCGUCGCCCAGGCUGGCGUGCAAUGGCACAAUCUUGGCUCACUGCAAUCUCCGCCUCCCGAGUUCAAGCAGUCCUGCCUCAGCCUCCUGAGUCUCUUUUGAUUUGGUGCUGUCACAGGUUGGGUUCUUUGGAUGUGGACUCUGUGACAGGUUAGUGUGCAGUAUGUUUAUUGCCUGGAAAGGAGUUGUAAUGUCCUGGGAAGAGCCUAGCCUGGGCCAGAUGGCACUCUGCAGCCAAGAUGAUCUUCGAGGGGCUGACAGCUGAAGAUUUUCUGCUGACAGCUCUCCCAAUAGUUGGGUCAACAAGUCCUUCUUUGAAGGGGAUCUGGGUGGCACGUUGCUAUGUCUACCACAAGUGUAUUCUUUUUCAGCCCUUUAAAAAUGUUUUGAGUACUUAAAAAUAGAGAAUAAAAUAUAGAAAUAGGAGAUGAGAUUAUAAGGAGGAGGACGAUAAUAUGGUUUAUGGGUUAAUGUAGCUGAUGUGAUUGAGAAUUAAACAUGGCUGAGCUUCCUGAUAGCCAAAACAAUAACACUUUCUAUUCUGUUAACUGGUUCUUUGGAGUAAAAAAAAUUUCUGGGGUUAAAUUAUAAAAGAAGUUUCUCACCUGGAUACUUAUUUAGUUGAAAUAGUGGAGAAUGUUCUCAACUGGUUAAUAGCAAAUGCUGAUGCCGUUUUCAUUUGUUCCUUGUAAUGGCCUUGAGUGAAUAUCGAGGGCAUAAUAUACAAGUAUAGCUCAGUGAAGCCCUUUUCACAUUAGAAGGGUGCAGAUUUAUAGUCUUGCAGUGUCUAAUUUGAUCCAUGUGUAAAACAUUGUCCUUUUUCUUUAAACCAUUUUUUUUUUUUUUUUUUUUUACUCUUGUCGUCCUGGCUGAAGUGCAGUGGCGCAAUCUCGGUUCACUGCAACCUCUGCCUCCCGGGUUCAAGCAAGUCUCCUGCCUCAGCCUCCUGAGUAGCUGGGAUUACAGGCGCGUGCCACCAUGCCCAGCUAAUUGUUUGUAUUUUUAGUAGAGACGGGGGUUUCAUCAUGAUGGCCAGGUUGGUCUCGAACUCCUGACCUCAGGGGAUCCACCCACUGCAGCCUCCCAAAGUGCAGGGAUUACAGGCGUGAGCCACUGCACCUGGCCUAAACCAUUCUUUAAUUUUUACUCAGUUUCUCGUGUUAGACAUCUGAACAGCCCCUCCUCUGGGUUUGUGAGCCAGCCUGCACCUCAGCACACAGCCAGUACUACUUGCUAAGAACUAACCUCAGUGCACCUUGAACUCCACCCACAACCUGCUGUUUAGGCUCCUGACCCCUGGCCCCCAAAUCUAUCUGUGGCUCCAACUUAGUCAUCAGGCCUCACACUUCUUAGGUCAUGUCCACCUGCUUUCCUCCUCACCUGGGUUGUGUUAUCUGUCCCUCAAGAGCCUCGUGUUCUCUCUCAAGGCAAAAUCACACCUGGCUCGGCUGCUCCCAGGGACUGCUGUCUCCAUUGACCUUGGUGUAUCUCUGCUGAUUGGCCCCCAUAGUGGGACCCAGAUGUUGAGGUUCUCCAGCUGGGCUGCAGAUGUAUCUUCUUCUGAAAGGUGGCAGGGACACUGUGACUGCAUCACUGAGGCAACAUAUGGCAAUAAAGGAAGAGAAGGGGAAAGCCCAGGCCAGGGCAGACCUGCACUUUUCUGUUUUUCUCUCUCCUCCUUGCAACACGCUUCACGGAUGCAUCCUCUAGAGCACUAAGACAGCACAGCUGAGUCAGAACAAGUUCCCACUCCAGCAGUGGGUACAGAAAUGCCAACAGACCAUGACAAUUCAGUGUGAUGGGGGCCAUUGGAGCACUGAGAAGGGACACUUGGCUUUACUGAAACCUGUUAGUGUCUGUGGAGAUAGAGCAAAGUGAGAGACUGUAUAUGCCUGAAAGAGAUGGCCACUCCAGAUACAAGGCAAACACUCAUUUUCAUCAUAGGGUCACUCCAAGUUGUUUUGUGGGUUGUUUUUUUUUUGCAACUAAAAUAUAAACUUUUUAGAGAUGCAAAUGUCCACAUAUAAUAGUUUAUUUAGCUACAGGUACAUACUUUAAAUCACAUAUUUAAAACAAUAUAUUGAUUCACGAACAUUGAUUUUCCCCACACUCACAUUUUCAGUAAACUAUAUUCAACUCUUCACAUGAAUCUUGGAUUUCUGUAUUUUCACCAUGAGUCGCUUUUUGAGUCAUCUAAUAGAAUCUCUCAAAGCAUAUCAUCACUUUCCCUCCCUUCUAAGUUGAGAGAGAGAGCAAACAACUUUUUUUUUUUUUUGAGACGGAGUUUCGCUCUUGUUGCCCAGGCUGGAGUGCAAUGGU
rnacentral:lncRNA from 10 species